AGAGACAGUGGGUUUGCUCUCACACAGUGGAGCAAUGCCUCGAAAGCCAUGGACGCUUUCGGUGUUGGGGAUCUACUUAGACAACACCACACCCAACUUCGCAGGUUGACGGUCACUUCCAAUGUCACUGGAGAAACUGUAACAGACUUACCCUUCACCAGGUCUGGAGAAAGUAAUGACGUUGAAGUGGGGUGUGUAAGCUGACAGAUGCUGG